rnacentral:rRNA from 1 species
UGGUGGGUUGCCUUGUCAGGUUUAUUCCGGUAACGAACGAGACCCCGGCCUGCUAAAUAGCCACGGUCGGCUUCUGCCGGCUGGCCGGCUUCUUAGAGGGACUCUCGGCGACUAGCCGAUGGAAGUACGGGGCAAUAACA